AUGGGAUCGACCAGAAAUAGGUCAGAUCUCGAUCUCAUCUCGCUGAGGCUCCGCUCCUCUCCUCCCCCACCCCUACCCCUGCCCGUCAGUACCCUAACCCUCCAGCCGCCGGCCAUGGCCGCCCCCCUCUGCACGCACGCACCCACCCAGGCGGCCUUUCCCCAACCAUGCAUGCAUCUCGCGUCUCUGUUUCUCCUCCCUCCCUCCUGGAUCGAUCGAUCCAUCGAUUCAAAGAAACAAGUCAACGAGGUGGCCCGUCGAUCGGUCGGUCGCUCGCUCGCGCAUCCACCGAGUGCAACCGUCCCUAGCAGCACUCGCACCCCCGGUGGAGCGAGCUCCAAGGGCCUGUUUGGAACUGCUCUGCUUCACCAAAAUCAGUUUCUCUCCACUAAAUUCACUUUGGAGCAGUUUCAUAUAGAAGUUGUAGCACUACCAAAGAGAAUGUUUGGCUUCCAUCUAGCUCCAGCUUCAAGAAUGGGAAAUUUGGUGAAAAGGAUCUAUUUGAUUGGUUGA
rnacentral:rRNA from 1 species